ensembl:lncRNA
AUUCCAUAUAGCAUGCUUUCAGUUAGUGCCUCUGGAAAUUUCUGGCAGUUUCUUAUAGAUUAUCAAAAGUCUUUCCAUCUAAUUCAGCUUUUAGACUAUAGCUUAACUUAAUGUGACCGUGAACGCUGUGAUUCAGCAAAUCUAUCCUAAAUAAUGUAUUAUCAAAGAAGAGAAGGGAUAUAAGAUUUUUAAAAAACAGAUAGUAAUGUGGUUUCCUUAUUGUUUAUUUGUAUCCCUUCUGUACUUUUUUCAUUCUCCUGUCUUUAUACUCUGUCCCUCUUUUCCUUUCCCUUGCCUUUAUUCUUCUCACAGGGCUCAUAUUUUUCCUUCUGUUAUCUUUUAUCCUGCUCUUCCCUGAGUCCUCUUUUGUCCUCCCUGACCUAUCUUCCCACUUAAAAUACUUUCUUCCUGGCCUCAUGGAGCAUCGCCAUGGUGACUGCAUGAUGUCACUGCAUGGGGAGCUGUUGCCCAGGAAACAGUAUGAUGUCAUUGCACUAGAGACAGUUGCUAUGGUUACUGAGUUGGCUGAGGUAACUGGGAAUAAAGGAGUUGUUAUCAGACCAGAGCCAGGAAAUGUUCCCUUUAAUGGGAAUAAUAAAAAAAAGACACUUUUAAUGUAUUUAUGUUUCAGGGCGGUUUGCCUGUGAUUCAAAGUCCCCAGUUAUUUUUCUGAUGCAGUGUGCUCAAUUUGGGCUUCUUUCAGUUGGGCUGAGUGAUCUUGCUCAUCUGUUUCUACUCUUGAAUGUUAUUGUGGACAUCACACCACAGUAAAAUGGAAAAAAGAACUGUGUUGUCCCGUGCUUCUGUGUAAUAUGUGUUCCCACCUGUUGUUGCUGUUUGCUUUUUCCUGUUUGGUUUCUGUGUUUUCUGUGAUGAAUAGUCCAGCCCAGUUAUUAUCCCAGCUGAUGUCAGAGAUACGCUAACAGUGAAUAUUACAUGUCUGAGCUUGCUUCAUCUGCCCCAGGCUCUGUCUGUAAAAGGCAAGCUAUAAUUUGUUUUCCACUUCUUUUCUGCCUUCUACCUGCUUUUUGUUUUUCAUUGUAGUCAUUGCAGGAGUUCCAGGAAAAGUCCAAUGCGAAAAGUGAAGCAGAGAUUAAAUAAAAAGUAGGAGGCAGCUAUUAGAGAUGAAGAAAUACAUGCAAGAUUGCACUUCACUGAGAGCAAUGUGGAAAUGUGUGUAGCUGAUCGUGUUUCAUGUGAGGAUGCAGGAACGUGAAUAGUGGUAGGUCAGCAGGAAACAGCAAUUGUAAGAGAUGGCAACAAGAUAAAACAGCUAAUGGAGGUGAAAAGUGGCAGUCAGUCAGCACUGAGAGGCUCAUAACGGUCAGGGAUUUAGCAGUACCAAAAUUAGAAGAGCUGAUUUGUUUCUGCAGAGGUUAGACGGUUUGAAGAGGGUGAGUAGUUUAACACAAUUACCACUUUGUCUGUCCUUCUUGUUCAUCUUCUCACAGUAGAACAUGAGGAAACAAACUCUACAGCACCUGUGAAGGUGACACAUCUUUUUAAUGUGCUGGUAUCAUCAAACACACAUUGAAAUGUAGGUGACCAAUCCAUGCCUAAGUUAAAUUCCCAGAAAUAUCCACACCCAUUAAUAUGUCAUCAUUCUAUCAUGCCCUGUCACUCUGAUAUACACAACAAAAUCCCCAUGUAAAUACAGAUGUUAUAUGUACUGGUAAGCGUGUAUACCGUGGACUGAAAUAAUACCUGUAUAGGUGUAAUCAAUAAAACUGUUAAACUCUGAGGUGCUCUAAAAUCCCUUCUAGGAAUGUUCAGCAUUCUUCAAAACGAUGAAUAAAAUCUAUCCAAAGGCUGCAUCGUAUUGAUCUUCCAUAUCACAGGGAACAUUUAAAUGGUGCUUUUUCAUUUUUCUUUCAUAACAGAAAACAGUUUUCAGGCAAUUGUUCAGCUUUUAUCCUGACCAGGGAUUCCCACUUCUUACUGUUCCCUGUUUCAGAUAAUUUUCUGCUGUUGGAACAGUCAAUAGGUUUGUUUAAAUGUUUGUUGCAAUGCUAUAUUUUUCAUUAUUUCCAAAAAUAAUGUUUCCUUUGAGUUCUCUCCAACAAUAUUUUCUGGCUCUACUGAUAUUCCAUAAGCUUCAUAUUAUAUUUUGUGCAGUGGAAACAUAACAGUGUUAUUUCCUUUUUUUCCUUGUUAAAUUUUCUGGUGAAACUCUGUGGAAACAAGAGGCUACUGUGCAACAAGAGCUCCAGGGACCCUGUAGAGCAAGUUGUAUGUAUGUACCAGUCUAUUAUACUACUGGAUUAUGAUCUUUUUCUUCCCUAACUUGAAUUUCUUGUAUCAAAUUAAUCUGUUAAACAUAAAAAUAAUAAUUUAUUUGUUGCUCUUUAUUGCUCAAGUGUAAUCAAAACAUAUCCACAAGGCCUGAAGCUAUCCAUUGUUCAAGAGUGAUUACAUUUAUUUCAAGUAAAAUGAAGUAUGAGUGACUGGGCUUCUUAUUAGG